AGAGUUUGAUCAUGGCUCAGAUUGAACGCUGGCGGCAGGCCUAACACAUGCAAGUCGAGCGGUAGCACAGAGAGCUUGCUCUCGGGUGACGAGCGGCGGACGGGUGAGUAAUGUCUGGGAAACUGCCUGAUGGAGGGGGAUAACUACUGGAAACGGUAGCUAAUACCGCAUAAUGUCGCAAGACCAAAGUGGGGGACCUUCGGGCCUCAUGCCAUCAGAUGUGCCCAGAUGGGAUUAGCUAGUAGGUGGGGUAACGGCUCACCUAGGCGACGAUCCCUAGCUGGUCUGAGAGGAUGACCAGCCACACUGGAACUGAGACACGGUCCAGACUCCUACGGGAGGCAGCAGUGGGGAAUAUUGCACAAUGGGCGCAAGCCUGAUGCAGCCAUGCCGCGUGUGUGAAGAAGGCCUUCGGGUUGUAAAGCACUUUCAGCGGGGAGGAAGGCGGUGAGGUUAAUAACCUCAUCGAUUGACGUUACCCGCAGAAGAAGCACCGGCUAACUCCGUGCCAGCAGCCGCGGUAAUACGGAGGGUGCAAGCGUUAAUCGGAAUUACUGGGCGUAAAGCGCACGCAGGCGGUCUGUCAAGUCGGAUGUGAAAUCCCCGGGCUCAACCUGGGAACUGCAUUCGAAACUGGCAGGCUAGAGUCUUGUAGAGGGGGGUAGAAUUCCAGGUGUAGCGGUGAAAUGCGUAGAGAUCUGGAGGAAUACCGGUGGCGAAGGCGGCCCCCUGGACAAAGACUGACGCUCAGGUGCGAAAGCGUGGGGAGCAAACAGGAUUAGAUACCCUGGUAGUCCACGCCGUAAACGAUGUCGAUUUGGAGGUUGUGCCCUUGAGGCGUGGCUUCCGGAGCUAACGCGUUAAAUCGACCGCCUGGGGAGUACGGCCGCAAGGUUAAAACUCAAAUGAAUUGACGGGGGCCCGCACAAGCGGUGGAGCAUGUGGUUUAAUUCGAUGCAACGCGAAGAACCUUACCUGGUCUUGACAUCCACAGAACUUUCCAGAGAUGGAUUGGUGCCUUCGGGAACUGUGAGACAGGUGCUGCAUGGCUGUCGUCAGCUCGUGUUGUGAAAUGUUGGGUUAAGUCCCGCAACGAGCGCAACCCUUAUCCUUUGUUGCCAGCGGUUCGGCCGGGAACUCAAAGGAGACUGCCAGUGAUAAACUGGAGGAAGGUGGGGAUGACGUCAAGUCAUCAUGGCCCUUACGACCAGGGCUACACACGUGCUACAAUGGCAUAUACAAAGAGAAGCGACCUCGCGAGAGCAAGCGGACCUCAUAAAGUAUGUCGUAGUCCGGAUUGGAGUCUGCAACUCGACUCCAUGAAGUCGGAAUCGCUAGUAAUCGUAGAUCAGAAUGCUACGGUGAAUACGUUCCCGGGCCUUGUACACACCGCCCGUCACACCAUGGGAGUGGGUUGCAAAAGAAGUAGGUAGCUUAACCUUCGGGAGGGCGCUUACCACUUUGUGAUUCAUGACUGGGGUGAAGUCGUAACAA
rnacentral:rRNA from 1 species